CUCAAUGGUGAGCUGGAUAGGGCAGCCGCAAGGCUGGCCGGCGGUUACUCCGGUAGUUGGAACCCUGUUCAGCUCGCCACCAAU
rnacentral:antisense_RNA from 1 species